AACUCAGAAAUAAAACACAAACACUGUCCCGAAAAGUUAAACCUUGAUUAGAUUGUCAGUGAGUUAAACAAAAAGGCAAUAACAAUCCUCCGCCGCCUCCGCCGGCAGCUCUUCCAUCAGCCACCGUAGUACAAAGUGAGUUUAUUUUAUAUCCACCGAAAGUAUAGUUUAUAUGAACCACUGAUAUAGACUUACAGUCGCAGAAACACUCAGAAAAGGAGGCAAAAUGUUGCACAGCAAAACAUUCAGUAAAAAAACAAGAGGCGGCAAAGUUCAAAAGCUUGUGAGAGAAGUUUAUUUGCGAGACGAUAUUUAUUGUGGAGCUUCAUUUUGUAAAAUAUGCGAUACUUCAUCUGCUCGCUUCGACAUUACUUCCUCAACAAUUCUUGUUCUCGACACUAAUGUCGUUCUUAAUCAGAUUGACUUGCUUGAAAAUCCUGCUAUUAAUGACGUGGUUGUGUUAUCAAUUGUUUUACAAGAGGUUAAGAAUAAGAAUACUUCUGUUUAUAAUCGAAUUCGUGCCCUCUGUAGCAAUCCUGCUCGCAAAUUCUUUGUAUUUUCCAAUGAAUUUCACAGGGAUACAUAUGUUCAGACCAUGACCGGAGAAAGCCCUAAUGAUCGAAAUGAUAGAGCUAUUAGGGUUGCUACCAAAUGGUAUCAGACUCAUCUUGGUGAUGCCGUAAAAGCUUUACUUAUCACCAAUGAUAGGGAAAAUAAGAGGAAGGCAACUGAAGAGGGUGUUUUUGCCGAGACAAUUGAAUCUUAUGUUAAAUCACUAGGCCAGCCAGCUUUGCUUGACCUGCUUGCACAGCCUGCUUCUGAAGAUUCAGUCAUGGAGGAUGCUGAAGAUUUAAGACCUUCGAAAAGGAAGGUCGUUUACCCAGAGCAUAAACCCAUGUCAGAGAUCACUGCUGGUUUGACCAGCAGAAUUUAUCAUCAAGGAAAACUUCGUGUUAAUCGUUAUAAUCCAUUUGAAGCAUAUGUCGGAAGUGAGAGCAUCGGUGAUGAAAUUGUCAUUUAUGGCCGUGAAAGUAUGAAUAGGGCUUUUGAUGGUGAUAUAGUGGCAAUAGAACUUCUUCCUCAAGAUAAAUGGCGUGAAGAUGGAUCUAUCUCUAUAGCUGAUGAAGAUGAUGAUGACGAAGAAGUUCGUCUAGUUCCAAACAGUGCGGAUGAUGCUCCUAGAACAGCAGAUCCAGUAUCAAUUUCUGCUAAUGAUACAAAUCCUACUUCCACUCGUCCAUCUGGACGUGUUGUUGGCAUCAUAAAGCGUAAUUGGCAUUCCUAUUGCGGAUCUUUGGAGCCAAUGCCGAUGCCUGCUGGAAGUGGUGGCCUUGUCUAUGCUUUAUUUGUCUCCAAAGAUCGAAGAUUUCCUAAAAUUCGAAUUCAAACACGACAGCUCCAAAACCUUGUUAACAAAAGAAUUAUAGUGGCUGUUGAUUCUUGGGACCGUCAAUCACGGUAUCCUUCUGGUCAUUAUGUACGAAGUAUAGGAGAUAUUGGUGAUAGAGAUACUGAAACCGAGGUGGUCUUGAUAGAGAAUGACAUAGAUGCAAGACCAUUUUCUGCUCAAGUUUUGGCGUGCUUGCCCCCAUUACCAUGGUCAGUUUCUGCCGAAGAUUUGGCCAAUCCUAUCAGGGAAGACUUGCGGCAUUUGCGUGUCUUUAGUGUUGACCCACCAGGAUGCAAGGAUAUUGAUGACGCCUUACAUUGUACAUUACUUCCACACGGAAAUUUUGAAGUUGGCGUUCACAUUGCUGAUGUAACAAACUUUGUCCACCCUGGCACACCACUUGAUGAUGAGGCUACCCAAAGAGGCACCUCUGUAUAUCUUGUUGAGCGUCGUAUUGACAUGCUUCCAAAACCCCUAACUGAAGAUGUAUGUUCUCUUCGUGCUGAUGUUGAGAGGCUGGCGUUUUCCGUCAUUUGGGAAAUGACCCCUGAGGCAGAGAUUAUUUCCUCAAGAUACACUAAAAGUGUCAUCAAAUCAUGCGCAGCAUUGUCUUACAUUGAAGCUCAGGCAAGAAUGGACGAUAGUCGAUUGAUGGAUCCAGUAACGAUGGAUUUAAGAAAUAUGAAUUCUUUGGCCAAGAUAAUGAGGCAGAGAAGAAUUGAGAGAGGAGCUCUUACUCUUGCUUCAGCUGAAGUUAAGUUUCAAAUAGACACGGAGACUCACGACCCUCUUGAUAUUGGUAUGUAUCAGAUUCGGGACGCAAAUCAAAUGGUUGAAGAGUUCAUGCUCGCUGCUAAUGUUUCAGUAGCUGAACAAAUCCUUAAACAAUUUUCAGGGUGUUCACUAUUAAGACGUCAUCCUUCUCCAACUAAAGAUAUGUUAGAACCCCUGCUGCGAACAGCUGCUUCUGUUGGUCUGAGCUUGGAUGUCUCAUCGUCAAAAGCGCUUGCUGAUUCACUUGACAGUGCUGUGAGUGAUGACCCGUACUUCAACAAGUUGAUCCGUAUAAUGGCAACAAGAUGCAUGUCACAGGCAGUUUAUUUUUGUAGUGGGGAUCUCAGCCCCCCAGAGUUUCAUCAUUAUGGUCUGGCAGCACCUUUAUAUACUCAUUUUACUUCACCAAUUAGGAGAUAUGCUGAUGUCAUUGUCCACAGGUUGCUUGCUGCAUCUUUAGGAAUAUAUAAACUUCCUUCAAUAUUUAGCGACAGGCCCCAACUAACUAGCAUUGCUGACAAUUUAAAUUACCGGCAUAGGAAUGCCCAGAUGGCAAGUAGAGGCUCUGUGGAGCUUCAUACUCUCAUAUACUUCAGAAAACGACCCACAGACACAGAGGCCAGAAUAGUGAAGAUAAGAUCCAAUGGUUUUAUAGUGUUUGUGCCCAAGUAUGGUAUUGAAGGACCGGUAUACUUGAUGCCUAGGGGUGAGAAAGGGGGUGGAGAAUGGUUUGUGGAUGAGCAGCAGCAGAAGAUCAACAAGAUGGAUGGUAGCCUUUCUUAUGGUAUUUUGCAAUCAGUAAGAAUUCACUUGGAGGUUGUCGAACCGCAGCCCAAUAGACCAAAACUCCAGCUUGCGCUCCUUUGAAUCGGUUGGCAGCCAGUUUGAACCAUUGCUAGGGGGAGUCAAAUUUUUGUUGCAUAAUUAUUUAUGAUCUAUUUUUCAGGACAGAAUGGACAUGUAGAUUGUUGACCAGAAAGUUACUGCUAUGGCUGCUACCAAAUAUGUCCACAGCGAGAGAACUGAGCACUCUUCUUGACCCACAUCAAACAGCUGGGUCAUGGUGGCAGAGUGUAUUGAACCAUCAGCACAAAAUGGUAGAGAGGAUCUGGAGGAAGGAAACCAAGAGUUGCUGCAGCUUUAACAAGCCAAAUACCGAUUGCAGGGAGCAUCACGAAUCGAACAAGAACCACCCCAACAAUGAUCCAUGCCUUUAUUCUCGACGAUCGUAAACCUGUUUAAUUCCACAAUAAGAUUGAUUGAAUUUUGUAAUUGUAUUUGUUCCGCAGGAAUAUUACCUUGAAUGAGGUUGCCUCCAAGUAUGAGUGUCAUGCAAGGAAUUGUUCCAUCUCUACGGGAUAGAAAAAAGAUUCCAUUAGUGAGUGAACGUAAACGGAGCAAUUGAAGAGAUAUAAAAAUGAUACCCAAGUAAUUUGAUUGAA